GUUCUGCAGUUUGGCAGUGGAAUCUGAUUGGGACCAAAUUUGACUGUGAUGAUCCAUCCAGAAAACUAUGCGUUUGCUUUGGGAAGGUUGCAUCUGUUCUUCUCUUAUAUUGGGCAUUCAGGUGAUGCUUCACGCUUGUUCUACACCUUCUUCUCUGAGCUAUACAAUUUUAUUCUUCAGUUACAUUUUUCAGGCAUUCUUAAGGAAUGUUUACAGUGUAAUCUAACGCUCUACUCUAAUAUGCAAUUGUUGUCUCACAUCUAUGACAUGCCUUUCUUCAGUGGCACCUUUAAUGAUGAGCAACUCCGGUAUGGUUUGACGGCUAUAAGCCAAACUAAUUACACAAUCUAAGAUCUUAAGUUUCUGUAAGUCAAUAUUCAGAACACUUUAGAAUAUAUUUGAACAAUGUAGACAUAAAG
ensembl:lncRNA